rnacentral:rRNA from 1 species
UACGAAGGGGGCUAGCGUUGUUCGGAAUCACUGGGCGUAAAGCGCACGUAGGCGGAUCUUUAAGUCAGGGGUGAAAUCCCGGGGCUCAACUCCAGAACUGCCUUUGAUACUGAAGAUCUUGAGUUCGGGAGAGGUGAGUGGAACUGCGAGUGUAGAGGUGAAAUUCGUAGAUAUUCGCAAGAACACCAGUGGCGAAGGCGGCUCACUGGCCCGAUACUGACGCUGAGGCACGAAAGCGUGGGGAGCAAACAGG